rnacentral:rRNA from 1 species
CGUCUAUAUACGUAUAGCAUAUCAAUAAGCGGAGGAAAAGAAACUAACUAGGAUUCCCUCAGUAACGGCGAGUGAAGCGGGAAGAGCUCAAAUUUGAAAUCUUCAAGGUUCUACCUUGACGAAUUGUAGUUUAAAGAAGUGUUUUCUGUUGGAGUUUUGGUAAAAGUUCUUUGGAAAUAGGACAUCAUAGAGGGUGAGAAUCCCGUAUUUGACCAUUAUUUCCAACUUUGUGAUACACUUUCAAAGAGUCGGAUUGUUUGGGAAUGCAGUCCAAAAUGGGUGGUAAAUUUCAUCUAAAGCUAAAUACUGGCGAGAGACCGAUAGCGAACAAGUACCGUGAGGGAAAGAUGAAAAGAACUUUGAAAAGAGAGUUAAACAGUACGUGAAAUUGUCAAAAGGGAAGCGUUUGACACCAGUGUUGUUUUCUCGAAAAUCAAUUAAAAAUGGUGGGAUUUUGUGUUGUAUUGACUUUAUCAGCUUUCUGCACUUUUUUCCUUAUCUUUUUUAAUGCACUUUUCGUUUAACAAGUCAACAUCAAUUUCUUUUGUUGUAAAAGGAGUCAUUGGAAGGUGGCUUUUCUUUCGGAGAAAGUGUUUAUAGCCUUUGGCUUCUGCAAUCGGAGAGAUUGAGGUCUGCAGCGUAGAUCCUUCGGGGUUAGAUACAUUUGUGCUAAGUUAUAGCCUUUCAUAGACAACUUGUUGACUAUGAUCAGUCAUGUAGCUUACUCGCUUAUGUUAUUUUACCUACGCUUAGGAUGUUGACGAUCAGCUGAGCGCG